rnacentral:rRNA from 1 species
AGAGUACGUGAAACCGUUCAGGGGUAAACCUGAGAAACCCGAAAGGUCGAAAGGGGAGAUUCAGCGUGUCUCGAUUGCGGCGCUGGAUGGUCGUGCGACGGAAGACGUACGCGUCAUCCGCACCUUCCGUCCUCCGAACCGUAGUCGAACGCGUGCACUUCUCCCCCUGUAGGACGUCGCGAUCCGUUGGGUGCCGGUCUAAGGCCCGCAGUGGAGCCCGUUCGGACGGUUUACCGUUCCGGACGAACCUGCGGUGUUUCCCGGUCGGCUCGCUCGACGGUAUACAGAUGGCGCGGGGCCGCUACACAAUAGUUAGCGUCCGACCGGCGGCAAGCGCGCUCGUCGCGACGGUGAUCGGACCUGGUGCCGGUCCUGUCCCCGAGUGGCUGUUCGCUGCCGUGUUCUCGGACAGACCUCGUCGAAACGCCGAUCUGCGACGCUAUAGCUUUGGGUACUUUCAGGACCCGUCUUG